GAAAUGCGAUAAUUAAUGUGAAUUGCAGAAUUCAGUGAAUCAUCGCGUCUUUGAACGCACAUUGCGCCCCCUGGUAUUCCGGGGGGCAUGCCUGUCCGAGCGUCAUUGCUGCCCUCAAGCACGGCUUGUGUGUUGGGCUUCCGUCCCUGGCAACGGGGACGGGCCCAAAAGGCAGUGGCGGCACCAUGUCUGGUCCUCGAGCGUAUGGGGCUUUGUCACCCGCUCCCGUAGGUCCAGCUGGCAGCUAGCCUCGCAACCAAUCUUUUUAACCAGGUUGACCUCGGAUCAGGUAGGGAUACCCGCUGAACUUAAGC
rnacentral:misc_RNA from 1 species